UACAGAGGAGCCAAGCGUUGUCCGGAUUGACUGGGCGUAAAGCGCACGCAGGCGGAUGCGCGCGUGGGGUGCGAAAUCUGGCCGCUUAACGGCCAGGCGCCAUCCCAUACGGCGCGUCUGGAGUGAUGCAGAGGUCGGUGGAAUUGCCGGUGUAGUGGUGAAAUGCGUAGAGAUCCGGAAGAACACCAGUGGCGAAGGCGGCUCACUGGCCCGAUACUGACGCUGAGGCACGAAAGCGUGGGGAGCAAACAGG
rnacentral:rRNA from 1 species